rnacentral:rRNA from 1 species
UACGUAGGGGGCUAGCGUUGUCCGGAUUUAUUGGGCGUAAAGAGCGUGUAGGCGGCCAGGUAGGUCUGCUGUGAAAACCCGCGGCUUAACCGUGGGCUUGCAGCCGAUACGGGCAGGCUAGAGUUCGGUAGGGGAGACUGGAAUUCCUAGUGUAGCGGUGAAAUUCGUAGAUAUUCGGAAGAACACCAGUGGCGAAGGCGGCUCACUGGCCCGGUACUGACGCUGAGGUGCGAAAGCGUGGGGAGCAAACAGG